AAUGCACUAAAUCCCUGAUGCUUACACAGCCCAUUUCUCAGAGCAGGACCAUCCAGGCCCUGGAUACCCAGAGUACUGGUGACUGUUGCCAUGGUCUCUGCCUUCCAGUUCCUUCAGGUAGCCUCCACUCCAGCAGCUCUCACUUGAAGACCACACCAAAAGUUUGUUUUCAUCAAGAGGAGUUGUCACCAUGGCAUCCAAGCACCUGAAACAACUACCCAAGGAACAAUACCGAAAUCGCAAGGCAGCUCCCAGCACAGCUAUGAGAACUCAAGGACAACACAAUACCCAGUGCAUUUGCAGGCUGCCAAGGGCUAACAGGAUGCUCUUAUUUCUCCCUAAACAUGGGUGACCCUGCUCCUGCAGGAAACCUCCAGCUGCCUGCCUGUGGUGAAAGCCAGCAGUGCUUCCCAGGCUGCCAGCAGAUGCUCAUUAUUCAUCACAAGCAGCACAAAUGUAGGCGGAGCAAUGAGACAGGUCAUAAACAAAGCAGGUGAGGCUCUGAAAAAAAGCAACUCUCUUUGAGAAGUUACACUAGAAAAUGUAAGGAACUCCAUUUUUCCUCAUCUGCUGCUGUAACUACAAACUGCAUAAAGCUCUCACCUCAGUCUUUAACUGAACAAAAAUAAUAUUUCAUACUCUGCUUUUGACCACCAG
rnacentral:lncRNA from 1 species